UACAGAGGGUGCGAGCGUUAAUCGGAAUUACUGGGCGUAAAGCGCGCGUAGGCGGCUUUGCAAGUCGGGUGUGAAAUCCCUCGGCUUAACCGGGGAACUGCAUCUGAUACUGGAUGGCUUGAGAUUGGGAGAGGGAUGCGGAAUUCCAGGUGUAGGCGGUGAAAUGCGUAGAUAUCUGGAGGAACACCGGUGGCGAAGGCGGCAUCCUGGACCAACACUGACGCUGAGGAGCGAAAGCCAGGGGAGCAAACGGGG
rnacentral:rRNA from 1 species